UCUCAACAAUACAGUGGGGAUGUUCUGAG
rnacentral:piRNA from 1 species